rnacentral:misc_RNA from 1 species
UUAAAAUAAUUUAAUAAUUUUGACUCAGACUUGAUAGAUAAAACAGAGUAUGAUUGUUCCACCGGGGCGGCGAGCGCCCCGAGGCAACGUGGUUGAGAUAACAAAGGGUUGGAGGUUAAUCAGCUCCCCGUGAAGGGCGAUGAUUAUCUCAGUAAUGAUCCCUCCGCAGGUUCACCUACGGAGA